CACGUAGGGUGCGAGCGUUGUCCGGAAUUAUUGGGCGUAAAGAGCUCGUAGGCGGUGUGUCGCGUCGGCCGUGAAAACCUGCAGCUUAACUGUGGGCUUGCGGUCGAUACGGGCAUCACUGGAGUUCGGCAGGGGAGACUGAAUUCCUGGUGUAGCGGUGAAAUGCGCAGAUAUCAGGAGGAACACCGGUGGCGAAGGCGGGUCUCUGGGCCGAUACUGACGCUGAGGAGCGAAAGCGUGGGGAGCGAACAGG
rnacentral:rRNA from 1 species